GGCCCCGUAGCUCAGUUGGAUCAGAGCAUUGCGCUUCGAACGCAAAGGUCGCAGGUUCGAGUCCUGCCGGGGUCG
rnacentral:tRNA from 1 species